rnacentral:lncRNA from 1 species
UUCCGAAAGAAUCCAUACUGGCUCCACGAUUAAAAUAAUAUAACUGACAUCUCACUCCACGAUUCCAAACUUGCUUGAAACUCAACAUUUAGUGCCAUCAAUAAAAAUUUUAAAAAAUUCCCCGACUGUGGCACAACAAGAAGUUGUCACAACGCACUGACGAAUGACUUUUCUAAAAUCAACAAUCCAAGUCAUUCUACUUAGUGCUUUAACAAAUUUCAACUAACCCACAAUAGAGACCAAAAUCAUCAGAAAUCUUACUAUUCAUCGACUAUUAUUAUCCGUCAUUUCCAAAAGAUAUUACCACCACUAUCUUAAUAAAUUGCUCAAAAGAUAAAAACUUAUCCAUAAUUAAAGUUGUAGGAACCAGAAUACGUGCUGACAUAACCAGCAUUAUUCCAAAAUGUUCCCAACUGCUUUCUACUGCGGAUAAACAUAGUCGGUAAAUUGGCCUUCAAUCAUGACUUAUCUAAAUUAACAUUUAACUUUUUAUGCCAUAACUUCCUGCAACCCAACACUAGUCACAGAUCUCAUGUGACUAACUCGCUCAGGAUUAUGGUCCUCAACAACUUGUAAAGGUACCCCUUGGAAUUACUAUGGGUACCUCCCUCAUCACUUCAAUCAACCUUUACCUCAAAAGAAUACACCACUAUUUCAAACUUUCCUUCCAACUCUUUUAUCCCAGAAAUCACGCAAUUCGAUACCACGAUUUUUCCAUCGGACUACUAUAACUUCACACUUGCCCACUAUAAAUAGUGAACUCCAAGGCUUGAAUUAAACUUUUCACCUUCUAAAAAUUCGCACGAGAUGCUCACCCUAGCAUCUUAAUCAUAACCCAAUCAAUAAUUUGGACAAAAUGAAAAGAAUGCUACCACGCAUAUGAGUUCUCAACUGGAGUUCCCAACUCACAAUUGAACUCUAACAAUUUAUGAUAUCAACUCGAUAACAUUUGGAAAAGGCAUAAUCCAAACACCUCUUUCCUUAAUCAAAGCAUGAUGAUCAU